rnacentral:pre_miRNA from 1 species
AGGAGGAACAACCCCAGUGGCGGGCCAUCUCUGGAAACCUGGAUUCAGCCCCCGCAGUAACUCCGGAGGUCUCCGUCUGCAGGGCCUGGAGGCUCCGGGGCGGG